UACGGGGGGGGCAAGCGUUGUUCGGAAUUACUGGGCGUAAAGGGCUCGUAGGCGGCCAACUAAGUCAGACGUGAAAUCCCACGGCUUAACCGUGGAACUGCUGGGCAUACUGGCGUUCUUGAGCCAGCCAGGGGUCGUCGGAACAAACGGUGGAGCGGUGAAAUGCGUAGAUAUCGUUUGGAACGCCAAAGGCGAAAGCAGACGACUGGGGCUGAGCUGACGCUGAGACACGAAAGCCAGGGGAGCGAACGGG
rnacentral:rRNA from 1 species